rnacentral:lncRNA from 1 species
AUGUGUAUGAAUACUGAUAAAUCUUUUAAUGGAAUGCUUCCUUCCUACGUCUCUCAGCAGAUCCUUCCCCCAUCCCAUCCCCAUAGCCAAGAUCUGGGUUCCAGCUCCAAUGCUGCCACCAACUGUUCUUGGGCCAGUGGUCUGACCUCUCUGGGCUUUGGCUUCCUCAUCUGUCAGAAGCGUUCUGCCUACCUCACAGUACUGCUGAGCGGAACAAGUGAGGUCCAAUUAGCCUGACUAACCUGGAAGGAGAGAGGACAACCUGAGGCCAGUAGCAGAAAAAGGAUCAGCCCUCAAAGGCAUCCACAAGUCAUCUGGACAAUAAGGGGGUAAGAUGAGAUCUCUG